UUGUAAGUAAUCUCUUUUUGUUUUAAUUUAAUUGAUUGUUCUUAUGAUAUAUUCGAAAAUUGUUACAUAUAAAUUAAAAUUUAGUGUAUAUGAUUGAAAGAAAUGGCUAUAGGAUUUGGGAAAAGAACAUGAACAGGGUAGUCCGAAGCUUCUACGAACUGUCAAUGGAGUUUUGGAGCUUCUGAUUGUAUCAAUGGUUGCCAAACUGGAAAUUAUCCAGUGUGGUCGCGCCUAGAAUAACCUCGUGUACCUUAUUUUU
rnacentral:lncRNA from 1 species